GUACACUCCUGCGGGAGGCAGCAGUGGGGAAUAUUGGACAAUGGGCGCAAGCCUGAUCCAGCCAUGCCGCGUGAGUGAUGAAGGCCCUAGGGUUGUAAAGCUCUUUUGUGCGGGAAGAUAAUGACGGUACCGCAAGAAUAAGCCCCGGCUAACUUCGUGCCAGCAGCCGCGGUAAUACGAAGGGGGCUAGCGUUGCUCGGAAUCACUGGGCGUAAAGGGUGCGUAGGCGGGUCUUUAAGUCAGGGGUGAAAUCCUGGGGCUCAACCCCAGAACUGCCUUUGAUACUGAAGAGCUUGAGUUCGGGAGAGGGGAGUGGAACUGCGAGUGUAGAGGUGAAAUUCGUAGAUAUUCGCAAGAACACCAGUGGCGAAGGCGGCUCACUGGCCCGAUACUAACGCUGAGGCACGAAAGCGUGGGGAGCAAACAGGAUUAGAAACCCUGGUAGUCCCAUGA
rnacentral:rRNA from 1 species